AUACGGAGGAUGCGAGCGUUAUCCGGAUUUAUUGGGUUUAAAGGGAGCGUAGGUGGGAUAUUAAGUCAGCUGUGAAAGUUUGGGGCUCAACCUUAAAAUUGCAGUUGAUACUGGUUUCCUUGAGUACGGUACAGGUGGGCGGAAUUCGUGGUGUAGCGGUGAAAUGCUUAGAUAUCACGAAGAACUCCGAUCGCGAAGGCAGCUCACCGGGCCGGAACUGACACUGAUGCUCGAAAGUGCGGGUAUCAAACAGGAUUAGAUACCCUGGUAGUCCGCACAGUAAACGAUGAAUACUCGCUGUUUGCGAUACACGGUAAGCGGCCAAGCGAAAGCGUUAAGUAUUCCGCCUGGGGAGUACGCCGGCAACGGUGAAACUCAAAGGAAUUGACGGGG
rnacentral:rRNA from 1 species